rnacentral:rRNA from 1 species
UACGGAGGGUGCAAACGUUGCUCGGAAUCAUUGGGCGUAAAGCGCGCGUAGGCGGUUCGGUAAGUCGGAUGUGAAAUCCCUCGGCUCAACCGAGGAAGGGCAUCCGAAACUGCCGAGCUUGAGUACGGAAGAGGGUCUCGGAAUUCCCGGUGUAGAGGUGAAAUUCGUAGAUAUCGGGAGGAACACCAGUGGCGAAGGCGGAGACCUGGGCCGAUACUGACGCUGAGGUGCGAAAGCGUGGGGAGCAAACAGG